GAGAUAAGAUAAAGGUUGAUCACGAUCUCUUCCUCUAAAGAGUAAUAAGUGAAGUAAUAAGUGAAAUGAGUGAUAAAAGAGGACAUCAUAGGAGCUGAAAAGCGUGGAUCCAUUUCUGUGUGUCUGUCAGCUCUGUGUGUGUGUCUGUCAGCUGUGUGUGUAAGCUUCUGCCGCUGAGCAGACGUUAUGUGUUUAAAUGUACUCUUUUAUGUUUAUUGCAAUGUGUUUUAAAACCAUGGUCAAAAUUGGGAAAUUAUAAUCUGUGGGAGGUUUUUGACUUUGUCUGCUGGGUUUGAUUUUCUGCUGGGUUUGAUUUCCUCGCCACCGCGUGAGCAAAACUGCAAAA